rnacentral:rRNA from 1 species
UGGGGAAUAUUGGACAAUGGGCGCAAGCCUGAUCCAGCCAUUCCGCGUGAGUGAUGAAGGCCCUAGGGUUGUAAAGCUCUUUCACCGGUGAAGAUAAUGACGGUAACCGGAGAAGAAGCCCCGGCUAACUUCGUGCCAGCAGCCGCGGUAAUACGAAGGGGGCUAGCGUUGUUCGGAUUUACUGGGCGUAAAGCGCACGUAGGCGGACUUUUAAGUCAGGGGUGAAAUCCCGGGGCUCAACCCCGGAGCUGCCUUUGAUACUGGAAGGCUUGAGUAUGGUAGAGGUGAGUGGAAUUCCGAGUGUAGAAGUGAAAUUCGUAGAUAUUCGGAGGAACACCAGUGGCGAAGGCGGCUCACUGGACCAUUACUGACGCUGAGGUGCGAAAGCGUGGGGAGCAAACAGG